rnacentral:rRNA from 1 species
CCCUUCGGGGACAUUGGUGACAGGUGGUGCAUGGUUGUCGUCAGCUCGUGUCGUGAGAUGUUGGGUUAAGUCCCGCAACGAGCGCAACCCUUGUCUUUAGUUGCCAUCAUUAAGUUGGGCACUCUAGAGAGACUGCCAGGGAUAACCUGGAGGAAGGUGGGGAUGACGUCAAAUCAUCAUGCCCCUUAUGCUUAGGGCUACACACGUGCUACAAUGGGUAGUACAGAGGGUUGCCAAGCCGUAAGGUGGAGCUAA